UACAUGUGGGGCAAGCGUUGUUCGGAAUUACUGGGCGUAAAGCGUGCGCAGGCGGUUCGCCAAGUCAGGUGUGAAAUCCCCGGGCUUAACCUGGGAAUUGCGCUUGAAACUAGCGGGCUUGAGUGUGGCAGAGGGGGGUGGAAUUCCACGUGUAGCAGUGAAAUGCGUAGAGAUGUGGAGGAACACCGAUGGCGAAGGCAGCCCCCUGGGUCAACACUGACGCUCAUGCACGAAAGCGUGGGGAGCAAACAGG
rnacentral:rRNA from 1 species